GAUGAAGAACGUAGCGAAAUGCGAUAGGUAAUGUGAAUUGCAGAAUUCAGUGAAUCAUCGAAUCUUUGAACGCACAUUGCGCCCGCCAGUAUUCUGGCGGGCAUGCCUGUCUGAGCGUCAUUUCAACCCUCAUGCCCCUAGGGCGUGGUGUUGGGGAUCGGCCAAAGCCCGCGAGGGACGGCCGGCCCCUAAAUCUAGUGGCGGACCCGUCGUGGCCUCCUCUGCGAAGUAGUGAUAUUCCGCAUCGGAGAGCGAUGAGCCCCUGCCGUUAAACCCCCAACUUUCCAAGGUUGACCUCAGAUCAGGUAGGAGUACCCGCUGAACUUAAGCAUAUCAAUAAGCGGAGGA
rnacentral:misc_RNA from 1 species